rnacentral:rRNA from 1 species
UACGUAGGGUGCGAGCGUUAAUCGGAAUUACUGGGCGUAAAGCGAGUGUAGGCGGUUCUCAAAGUCGGAUGUGAAAGCCCCGGGCUCAACCCGGGAAGUGCACCCGAUACUGGAGAGCUAGAGUGUCGGAGAGGUUGGUGGAAUUCUCGGUGUAGAGGUGAAAUUCGUAGAUAUCGAGAGGAACACCGGUGGCGAAGGCGGCCAACUGGACGAACACUGACGCUGAGACUCGAAAGCGUGGGGAGCAAACAGG